rnacentral:tRNA from 1 species
AAGGGUAACAGCUCAGUGGCAGAGCACAUGCUUAGCAUGCAUGAGGUCCUGGGUUCAAUCCCCAGAAUCUUUA